rnacentral:rRNA from 1 species
AUUGAACGCUGGCGGCAGGCCUAACACAUGCAAGUCGAACGAGUGGCGGACGGGUGAGUAAUGUCUGGGAAACUGCCUGACGGAGGGGGCUAACUACUGGAAACGGUAGCUAAUACCGCAUACCAUCAGAUGUGCCCACAUGGGAUUAGCUUGUUGGUGGGGUAACGGCUCAUCAAGGCGACGAUGCAUAGCUGGUCUGAGAGGAGGACCAGCCACCCUGGAACUGAGACACGGUCCAGACUCCUACGGGAGGCAGCAGUGGGGAAUAUUGCACAAUGGGCGCAAGCCUGACACAGCCAUGCCGCGUGUAUGAAGAAGGCCUUCGGGUUGUAAAGUACUUUCAGCGGGGAAGCGUUACCCACAGAAGAAGCACCGGCUAACUCCGUGCCAGCAGCCGCGGUAAUUC